rnacentral:tRNA from 1 species
CAGGGAGACAACAAAAUGUUUAAUAUUAUUAUUUUGUCACCUUAGGUCGAUCGGUAUCUCGCAUUUUUAAUUUAUUAAAAAUUUCAAUUCCUAAGUUUUUCUAGGUCACACCCAUUAUUUUUCCUGGGCCAUUAGCUCAGGUGGUUAGAGCGCACCCCUGAUAAGGGUGAGGUCCCUGGUUCAAGUCCAGGAUGGCCCAUAUCUCUAUGUUGGGGGUAUAGCUCAGUUGGUAGAGCGCCUGCUUUGCAAGCAGGAUGUCAGCGGUUCGAGUCCGCUUACCUCCACUGAUUACCACCUCUUCCAUAAUCUGUAGAAAAGGAAAAUUUUGAGUUGUGAUCAAAUUCUGAACGAAUCUAGCUUCCUAAUAAAAUCAUUAAGAUGCUGGACUCAUUGAAUUAAUUUCAUUGUUUUCAGAGAACCUUGACAACUGCAUAGAUUAUUUUUAAAGACAAUAAGCAUCUUUAAUGAUGCAGAUUUAUUAUUUGUGCGAAUGCAUUAAUAACAAUUCUAUUAAGCUGAUGCUUCAAUUUUUGAAGUUAUU